GAUGACCCGUCUUUAAAUC
rnacentral:snRNA from 1 species